AAAGUAAACUGGAUAAUCGCUAAUGUCGUAUAACAGGGAUUAGAGGAAAGUCCGAGCUCCACAGGGCAAGGGGCUGGGUAACACCCAGGCGGAGUGAUCCGACAGACAGUGCCACAGAAAAGACACAGCCGAUGGCUUUUACCGGAGCACAGGCAAUGGUGAAAAGGUGGAGUAAGAGCCCACCGCAAUUCUGGCGACAGAAUUGGCAGGGUAAACCUCUCCUGGAGCAAGAUCAAAUAGGAAAGCGUCUGAGAGUAGCCCGCUCGAUGUUUUCGGGUUGAUCGCAAGAGGUGCACGGUAACGAGCAUCCCAGAUGAAUGAUUAUCGCUCCUGAAGCGGAGAACAGAACUCGGCUUAUAGGUUUGCUUUAGUA
rnacentral:RNase_P_RNA from 1 species